rnacentral:rRNA from 1 species
UCCAGACUCCUACGGGAGGCAGCAGUGAGGAAUAUUGGUCAAUGGCCGUAAGGCUGAACCAGCCAAGUCGCGUGAGGGACGACUGCCCUAUGGGUUGUAAACCUCUUUUAUAAGGGAAGAAUAAAUGCUACGUGUAGCAUGAUGCCUGUACCUUAUGAAUAAGCAUCGGCUAACUCCGUGCCAGCAGCCGCGGUAAUACGGAGGAUGCGAGCGUUAUCCGGAUUUAUUGGGUUUAAAGGGUGCGUAGGCGGACAGUCAAGUCAGCGGUAAAAAUGCGGUGCUCAACGCCGUACAGCCGUUGAAACUGGCAGUCUUGAGUGGGCGAGAAGUAUGCGGAAUGCGUGGUGUAGCGGUGAAAUGCAUAGAUAUCACGCAGAACUCCGAUUGCGAAGGCAGCAUACCGGCGCCCGACUGACGCUGAGGCACGAAAGCGUGGGUAUCGAACAGGAUUAGAUACCCGUGUA